rnacentral:rRNA from 1 species
GUGGAUUAGAUACCCUGGUAGUCCUAGCUGUAAACGAUGGACACUAGGUGUUAGUGGUAUCGACCCCACUAGUGCCGGAGCUAACGCAUUAAGUGUCCCGCCUGGGGAGUACGGCCGCAAGGUUGAAACUCAAAGGAAUUGACGGGGGCCCGCACAAGCGGUGGAGCAUGUGGCUUAAUUCGUCACUAACCGAAGAACCUUACCAGGGUUUGACAUCUAAGGAAUCCUGAUGAAAGUCGGGAGUGCCUCGCAAGAGGAGCCUUAAGACAGGUGUUGCACGGCUGUCGUCAGCU